rnacentral:rRNA from 1 species
GAUGAACGCUGGCGGCGUGCCUAAUACAUACAAGUCGAGCGAACAGACGAGGAGCUUGCUCCUCUGACGUUAGCGGCGGACGGGUGAGUAACACGUGGAUAACCUACCUAUAAGACUGGGAUAACUUCGGGAAACCGGAGCUAAUACCGGAUAAUAUAUUGAACCGCAUGGUUCAAUAGUGAAAGACGGUUUUGCUGUCACUUAUAGAUGGAUCCGCGCCGCAUUAGCUAGUUGGUAAGGUAACGGCUUACCAAGGCAACGAUGCGUAGCCGACCUGAGAGGGUGAUAGGCCACACUGGAACUGAGACACGGUCCAGACUACUACGGGAGGCAGCAGUAGGGAAUCUUCCGCAAUGGGCGAAAGCCUGACGGAGCAACGCCGCGUGAGUGAUGAAGGUCUUCGGAUCGUAAAACUCUGUUAUUAGGGAAGAACAAAUGUGUAAGUAACUAUGCACGUCUUGACGGUACCUAAUCAGAAAGCCACGGCUAACUACGUG